rnacentral:lncRNA from 1 species
CCCUGGUUGGAGCAUUAGAGCAUCAGGGAACACCCUCACCCAGCAGGGGGAACACCUGAGGUCAGGAGUUCAAGACCAGCCUGGCCAACAUGGUGAAACCCUGUCUCUAUUAAAAAUACAAAAAUUAGCCGGGAGUGGUGGCACAUGUGUCAUUGUGCCACCUGAAGAUGGAAGUGUCAGAGGAAGGUGAGAUGUUAUUUCUGAAAGCAUCUACCCUCAGAAAGAGACAGGAGUGCAUCGCAGCUGUGUGAACCCCAGGUGGUGGUUCCAGCAGCGGGGCACGUGGUGGACACAAGACGGCCCGGUUUGAGUUUUGCUGCUAGAUGACACGUAGAACUUGAACUUCAGAGGGUGCUCCUUGGAGGCCUUG